AUUGGGCCUAAGCAUCCGUAGCCGGUUCUGCAAGUCCUCCGUUAAAUCCACCUGCUUAACAGAUGGGCUGCGGAGGAUACUGCAGAGCUAGGAGGCGGGAGAGGCAAACGGUACUCAGUGGGUAGGGGUAAAAUCCUUUGAUCUACUGAAGACCACCAGUGGCGAAGGCGGUUUGCCAGAACGCGCUCGACGGUGAGGGAUGAAAGCUGGGGGAGCAAACCGGAUUAGAUACCCCCGUAGUCC
rnacentral:rRNA from 1 species